GUACAUAAUUUUGGGCAAAACUCAUCUACGAUGACUAUCCAUGUAUACGAAUAGCAUUCUUUUGAGA
rnacentral:lncRNA from 1 species